GCUCCCUUUUCUGGGCAGUAUACUUCUAGAGAGUUGGAGCUCCAGACCACUACUCCGCAAAGACCACUCAGGGAACCGCAGCCCAGAGCCAGAGUCGAAAGACGAAGUGGAGUGGCCGACCCAGAGGAGAGAGAGUGACCAGGUGUCCUGGAGGUAGGAGGUUGCUAAUACUCACUUUAAGGGAGAAAUACACAUUUCUCCCUUAAAAUGUAACUCACUCUGUAUGCUUCC
rnacentral:lncRNA from 1 species